AGCAGCCGCGGUAAUUCCAGCUCCAAUAGCGUAUAUUAAAGUUGUUGCAGUUAAAAAGCUCGUAGUUGAAUUUCGGGAUUGGCGCGUCGGUCGUGCCUCACGGGGUAUGAACUGGUGCAGUCAAUUUCUCACCUUCUGGAGAACCGCGAUGCCCUUAAUUGGAUGCCGCGGGGAACCAAGGCCUUUACUUUGAAAAAUUAGAGUGUUUAAAGCAGGCAUUUUUGCUUGAAUACAUUAGCAUGGAAUAAUAAAUAGGACGGCAUGGUUCUAUUUUGUUGGUUUCUAGGACCACCGUAAUGAUUAAUAGGGAUAGUUGGGGGCAUUAGUAUUCAAUUGUCGGAGGUGAAAUUCUUGGAUUUAUUGAAGACUAACUACUGCGAAAGCAUUUGCCAAGGAUGUUUUCAUUAAUCAAGAACGAAAGUUAGGGGAUCGAAGACGAUCAGAUACCGUCGUAGUCUUAACCAUAAACUAUGCCGACUAGGGAUCGGAUGAUGUUAAUUUUUAAUGUACUCA
rnacentral:rRNA from 1 species